rnacentral:rRNA from 1 species
GACGAACGCUGGCGGCGUGCUUAACACAUGCAAGUCGAACGGAAAGGCUCCAGCUUGCUGGAGUACUCGAGUGGCGAACGGGUGAGUAACACGUGGGUGAUCUGCCCUGCACUUCGGGAUAAGCCUGGGAAACUGGGUCUAAUACCGGAUAGGACCGCACUUUGUUGUGUGUGGUGGAAAGGUUUUUCUGGUGUGGGAUGAUCUCGCGGCCUAUCAGUUUGUUGGUGGGGUAAUGGCCUACCAAGACGGCGACGGGUAGCCGGCACGAGAGGGUGGACGGUCACAAUAGGACUGCGAGACGGAGCAGAAUCCUACGGGAGGCAGCAGUGGGGAGUAUUGCACAAUGGGGGAAACCCUGAUGCAGCGACGCCGCGUGGGGGAUGAAGGCCUUCGGGUUGUAAACUCCUUUCGCUAGGGACGAAGCAUUUUGUGACGGUACCUGGAGAAGAAGCACCGGCUAACUACGUG